CCCGACUCCAUGAAGCUGGAUUCGCUAGUAAUCGCGCAUCAGCCACGGCGCGGUGAAUACGUUCCCGGGCCUUGUACACACCGCCCGUCAAGCCAUGAAAGCCGGGGGCGCCUGAAGUCCGUGACCGCGAGGGUCGGCCUAGGGUGAAACCGGUGAUUGGGGCUAAGUCGUAACAAGGUAUC
rnacentral:rRNA from 1 species